rnacentral:rRNA from 1 species
GAUGAACGCUGGCGGUAUGCCUAACACAUGCAAGUCGUACGAGAGUUUUUAACUCUAGUGGCGGACGGGUGAGUAACACGUGAGAAUUUGCCUUUAGGAGGGGGAUAACAAUUGGAAACGAAUGCUAAUACCCCAUAUGCUUUUGAGUGAAACGGAUUUAUCCGCCUAGAGAGAAGCUCGCGGCUGAUUAGCUUGUUGGUAAGGUAAGAGCUUACCAAGGCGACGAUCAGUAUCUGGUUUGAGAGGACGAUCAGACACACUGGAACUGAGACACGGUCCAGACUCCUACGGGAGGCAGCAGUGGGGAAUUUUCCGCAAUGGGCGAAAGCCUGACGGAGCAAUACCGCGUGAGGGAAGACUGCCUAUGGGUUGUAAACCUCUUUUUCUAGGGAGGAAUAAAUAGACGUAGUACCUGAAGAAUAAGCAUCGGCUAACUACCGUG